rnacentral:rRNA from 1 species
GAUGAACGCUGGCGGCGUGCCUAAUACAUGCAAGUCGAGCGAACAGACGAGGAGCUUGCUCCUCUGACGUUAGCGGCGGACGGGUGAGUAACACGUGUAUAACCUACCUAUAAGACUGGGAUAACUUCGGGAAACCGGAGCUAAUACCGGAUAAUAUAUUGAACCGCAUUGUUCAAUAGUGAAAUACGGUUUUGCUGUCACUUAUAGAUGGAUCCGCGCCGCAUUAGCUAGUUGGUAAGGUAACGGCUUACCAAGGCGACGAUGCGUAGCCGACCUGAGAGGGUGAUCGGCCACACUGGAACUGAGACACGGUCCAGACUCCUACGGGAGGCAGCAGUAGGGAAUCUUCCGCAAUGGGCGAAAGCCUGACGGAGCAACGCCGCGUGAGUGAUGAAGGUCUUCGGAUCGUAAAACUCUGUUAUUAGGGAAGAACAAAUGUGUAAGUAACUAUGCACGUCUUGACGGUACCUAAUCAGAAAGCCACGGCUAACUACGUG